rnacentral:piRNA from 1 species
UCCAGCCGUGGUGAGCCCAAUGGUGGGGAAC